UGUAUCGCUGAUAUCUUGGCUCCCUCUACUGAAACUUUAAUGUGGAAGCCUGCCAUUGUUACCCAUUUUCAGUCUGAGAUGUG
ensembl:snoRNA